AUUGAACUAAGACAUAAACCAUUGAUACAUGAUUAGUAUGUUGAAUGUAAAAUGCACAUUCCUGAAACCACACUUGAAGCAAGAAUUAAAAGGAUAUGGAAACCAAAUACCAAUACCCAACACAUCACCUAAUGUAACAUGGGUGUAUGUACUGUGUAGGGUGUUUGAUGAGAAUGCAUUUAUGGAAAAAUAAUAAUGGUAUGGGCUUGUCCAAGUGCAUUUUAUAAAACAACAUUAGGUUGAAGAGAGAAAACAAACAUAAAAUAUCUGAAAUAUUUUGCACACAUAAAACUAUUUAUUUAAUGAUAUAUUAUUUUACUAAAGAGUUUUGCAAAAUAGAGAGUUGGCAAACAUUUUAACCUAUAAAACAGCAAUAUCUGUACCAAAUAAAACAAAACACACUUUAUAAACAAUGUCCAAGUUGAAGGAAGGAUACAUAACUUAAGGACAUUUUAAGGGAAAGUCUAAUGAAGACAACCCAAGUUCACCUUAGAUCUGCCUUAUUUCUCUAACAUGGCCCACCAGGGCACAACGGGAGGGAUACAGCUGCUGAAGACAACGUUCCCAAACAGGAACAUUUUCAAACUUAUCUUAAAAAUUGGAAAAAAUAAGAACUUAAAUUUGUUUUUUAGUUCUACGUGACAUUAUGUGAAUGUCAUAAUACUGUUUGCUUUUACUGCAAUAAAAUACACAUAUUUGUAUUCAGCGAUGUCUCAUGUGUAAAACAGUACCCCCUAUGUACAGUUUUUAUGGUGUUUUGGGAAGUUACAGGGUCAAAUAUAGCAUGUUAAAUUUUCCAUUUUUUUCACAUUGAAGAUUGGUUGGUCACGUUGCCUUUGAGACUGUAUGGUAGCCCAGGAAUGAGAAUUACCCCCAUGGUGGCAUACCACUUGCAUAAGUAGAUAACCCAAGGUAUUGCAAAUGGGAUAUGUCCAGUCUUUUUUAGUAGCCACUUGGUCACAAACACUGGCCAAAGUUAGUGUUAAUAUUUGUUUGUGUGUGAAAAAUGCAAAUUUGGCCAGUGUUUUGUGACUUGGUGGCUACUAAAAAAGACUGGACAUACCCCAUUUGCAAUACCUUGGCUUGUCUACUAUUGCAAAUGGUAUGCCAUCAUGGGGGUAAUUUUCAUUCACAACAAUUAUAUCGUCCAUGUAUGUGCCAUUUAAAAAAAUGCAAAAAGAUUCACUUUCACUGACAAUAUCAUCGUUGUAAUACAUGUUACUGUUUUGAAA